rnacentral:rRNA from 1 species
UAAUUGGGGGGUUAAAGUAUUAUUUAUAGAAAAAAUUAAAAGUUUUAUAGUUAAUUAGUAUUGAUAAAGAAAUUUGAAAUAGUAAAAAAAAUUUAUUAAAAAGUAAUUUUAAUUUAAUGUAUCUUGUGUAUCAGAGUUUAUUAAAUAAUAUUUUUGAUAAUAAUUCUCGAAUUUAAAAGAGAUAAUUAAUUAUAAAAGUUAAUGUAGAAAAAUUAUUUUUAAUAAUUAAUUUGAAAUGAAAUGUUAAUCGUUUUUAAAUAUAUCUAGUUUUUUUAGAAAAAAAUUUAAUUUUAAAUUUUUACUUAUAAUUUAAUUAAUUAGUUAAUUUUAAAUUAUAAAUAUAAUUUUAUAUUUUAAGGGAUAAGCUUUAAAAAUUAAAGUUUUAUAAUUUUAAAUAAAAAUUUGAAAAUUUUAUGAUUUAAAUUGUUAAUAAAUUUUAUUUUAUUAUAAAUAAUUUCAUUAAAAUUAAAAUUUAAUUUAAUAUUUAAUUUUUUAUAGAAAAAUAAUUUUUAAUUUAAUAUAAUUAGUUAUAAUGAUAAAAUUAGUAUAGUUUAAUAUUAUGAAAUUAAAAUUAAUUUAAAUUAAUAAUAUAUUCAAAAGGAAUUCGGCAAAUAUUUAUUUUCACUUGUUUAUCAAAAACAUGUCUUUUUGUGGUUUAUUUAAAGUCUAAUCUGCCCACUGAUUAAAUAAAAAUUAAAGGGCUGCAGUAUUUUGACUGUACAAAGGUAGCAUAAUCAUUAGUCUCUUAAUUGGUGACUUGUAUGAAAGAUUGAAUGAAAAAUAUACUGUCUCUUGUUUAAUUUUUAGAAUUUAAUUUUUUAUUUAAAAAGUUAAAAUAAAAUAAAAAGACGAGAAGACCCUAUAGAGUUUUAUAAAUAGUUAUGUUAAAUAAUUAUUUGUUUAUUUUAAUAUUUUUAAUAAGUUAUUUAUUUUAUUGGGGUGAUAAAAAAAUAAGUUUAACUUUUUUUAUUUUAUUAACAAAAAUAAAUGAAUAUUUGAUCCAAUUUUAUUGAUUAUAAGAUUAAAUUACCUUAGGGAUAACAGCGUAAUUUUUUUUUUUAGUUCGUAUAAGAAAAAAAGUUUGCGACCUCGAUGUUGGAUUAAGAUAAAAUUUAAAUGCAAAAGUUUAAAAUUUUUGAUCUGUUCGAUCAUUAAAAUCUUACAUGAUCUGAGUUCAAACCGGUGUGAGCCAGGUUGGUUUCUAUCUUUUAUAAAUUUAAAUGUUUUAGUACGAAAGGAUUAAAUAUUUUAAUUAAAUUAAAUUAGUUUUGAAUUUUAUUA